AUGUACCUUUCUUUUCUUCACUUGGAUCUUAAGGUUUCUCUCACUAUGGAGAAGCUGUACGGUAGAGAAGAGGUGCAGAGUUCCGAGCGACCAAGAGAGUUUCUUAAUUCUCAGAGAACAACUUCGGCGGGCGCAGCGGUUGCGUGUCUUCUUCAUCUUGUUGAUCCGCCGUUUUGUCGACGUUGUUUCCUUUCCCGCGGCUGCCGCGUGACGCAGUGGCCACGCCAUCGCCUCGCCGUGUGCAUGCAUUGUGUGGCGCCUCCGUGUGGGCCGGGGAACAGCGCCACGGUGGAGGACGCAGCGACGGAUUACGAAUUUGUCAUCAAGCAUCUGGUCAAGAUCCGCACCGUAGGAGUCUCAGAUAGCACCGACUACCCCAAGUUUGAUCUCGUCCUCCUCAGCACGGGCUCCGACGGACAUGUGGACUCAUUGUUCCCUAACCACGAAGCCAUGGAGCUGAAGGACGACUGGAGAAUCACCUUCACCCUCCCUGUAACAAACUCGACAUCAAACAUAGCGAUCCAAGCGACGGGCGUCGGCAAGGCAAACGCCGUGCAUUUGGCCGUGUCUGACAGCAGCGACGGUCCAGACGCCCCCGUGCCCCUGCCUGCCAGGACGGUCCAGCCAACGCACGAGAAGCCGGUGUGA
rnacentral:rRNA from 1 species